UACAGCCUCCUCUGCAGAUGCUGUCACCUGUGAACAUCGUGGUGGAAAUUAAAUGCAGAAAUCCAAAGCCUUGCUCAUUGCGUGACUCUCUCCUUGGACUGGAUCUCCCCUCUUCUCUCCAGAUGCAAUUUAAUCCCUAGGAAAAGCCAGCCUGCUAGAGAUGCUUUAACACUCACUUCCCAGAGAGAGAGGGAAAUUCCAUCAGAAUUUGGGAAAAGCAUGUCAACAAUCCCUUCUCUUUAUUUUUGUUGUUUAUUAUUUUAUUACAGUAGUACCCAGAGACAAGAGAUCGGGGACCCAUAUGUUGUACCAACAUGUAGCAAGGAAAUAGUUCCUGCUUAAGUAGUUUACAAUCUUGGUUAAUUACAAGAUGCAAUCAGUGGAUUAAACAAACAAAUGGAUGGGAGUUGAAUGAGGCAAUAAUAGAAGCAUGUUUUCCCAUAGGUUAGCAGUGUGCACAAUGUAACUUUUAGCAAGGGGCCCCAGGAGCCUACUCCAACACAUCUCAGCUUAUUUAGGCACAACUCCCAUUGACAUCAGAGGGAGCUUUGCCCCAAUCAGAACUGAGUGGGAGAUUUCAGGACUGGAUUCAAAGUGAUGAUCAAGCACACGCCAAUGAACCAAUGUGCUGCUUAGUGCUUGCUUAGUGCUACAAAGAAAAAGGAGACUGAAGGGGACCACAAAGCAUCACUUUAUAAUUACUGAUCUUUUUUAGUUUUUGGUUUGUCUGGGCCCUUCUCCCUAGAAAUCAAUAACAAAUUUUGUGAAUAAUUUUGAGGAGGUUUCAGUGGGCUGACGGG